rnacentral:lncRNA from 1 species
AUUGGAAACAUCCUCUCUGCUCUUUCGGAUAGGGGUAAGACCCGUUUACAUAUUACCCUCCCCAAACCCCACCUUGUGGGACUAUAAUGGGUAGUUGUUGUUGUUGUUUUGUAGGGAAAAUUAGGUCGUGCAUGACCAUAGACCAACUUCAAAGUAUGAUGCAUUACUGAUAUUUGGAAAUUGGCAUACUUCAACACGAAGGUCGAUUUUUUUUCUUUUCCUUUUUGGGGGAGAUCAGAGUUACAGUCUAGUGGUUGUAAUCCUAUCUUAUAUCACUUAAGUACAU